rnacentral:rRNA from 1 species
UGAGGAAUAUUGGUCAAUGGACGAGAGUCUGAACCAGCCAAGUAGCGUGAAGGAUGAAGGCUCUAUGGGUCGUAAACUUCUUUUAUAUGGGAAUAAAGUGAGCCACGUGUGGCUUUUUGUAUGUACCAUAUGAAUAAGGACCGGCUAACUACGUGCCAGCAGCCGCGGUAAUACGUAGGGGGCAAGCGUUGUCCGGAAUUACUGGGCGUAAAGAGCGUGUAGGCGGGAGAGUAAGUCAGGCGUGAAAAUUAUGGGCUCAACCCAUAACCUGCGUUUGAAACUAUUUUUCUUGAGUGAUGGAGAGGCAGGCGGAAUUCCGUGUGUAGCGGUGAAAUGCGUAGAUAUUGGGAGGAAUACCGGUGGCGAAGGCGGCUUUCUGGACUGUAACUGACGCUGAGGCGCGAAAGCUGGGGGAGCGAACA